rnacentral:rRNA from 1 species
UACGGAGGGUGCAAACGUUGCUCGGAAUCAUUGGGCGUAAAGCGCGUGUAGGCGGUCUGUAAAGUCGGGUGUGAAAGCCCCGGGCUCAACCCGGGAAGUGCACUCGAAACUCACAGGCUAGAGUAUCGGAGAGGUUGGUGGAAUUCUCGGUGUAGAGGUGAAAUUCGUAGAUAUCGAGAGGAACACCGGUGGCGAAGGCGGCCAACUGGACGAAUACUGACGCUGAGACUCGAAAGCGUGGGGAGCAAACAGG